AGUGAACGCUGGCGGCAGGCCUAAUACAUGCAAGUCGAACGGCAGCACAGCAGAGCUUGCUCUGUGGGUGGCGAGUGGCGGACGGGUGAGGAAUACAUGGGAAUCUGCCCAGUCGUGGGGGAUAACGUAUGGAAACGUACGCUAAUACCGCAUGCGCCCUUCGGGGGAAAGCCGGGGACCUUCGGGCCUGGCGCGAUUGGAUGAGCCCAUGUCGGAUUAGCUAGUUGGGGGGGUAAAGGCCCACCAAGGCGACGAUCCGUAGCUGGUCUGAGAGGAUGAUCAGCCACACUGGAACUGAGACACGGUCCAGACUCCUACGGGAGGCAGCAGUAGGGAAUAUUGGACAAUGGGCGCAAGCCUGAUCCAGCCAUGCCGCGUGUGUGAAGAAGGCCUUCGGGUUGUAAAGCACUUUUGUCCGGAAAGAAAAGCACUAGGUUAAUACCUUGGUGUUCUGACGGUACCGGAAGAAUAAGCACCGGCUAACUUCGUG
rnacentral:rRNA from 1 species